AUUGAACGCUGGCGGCGUGCUUAACACAUGCAAGUCGAUCGGUAACAAGUGUAGCAAUACAUGCUGACGAGAGGCGGACGGGUGAGUAAUGCUUGGGAAUCUGCCUAUUAGUGGGGGACAACCCGGGGAAACUCGGGCUAAUACCGCAUACGCUCUACGGAGGAAAGCCGGGGACCGCAAGGCCUGGCGCUAAUAGAUGAGCCCAAGUCGGAUUAGCUAGUUGGUAGGGUAACGGCCUACCAAGGCGACAAUCCGUAGCUGGUCUGAGAGGACGACCAGCCACACCGGAGCUGAGACACGGUCCGGACUCCUACGGGAGGCAGCAGUGGGGAAUAUUGGACAAUGGGGCAACCCUGAUCCAGCGACGCCGCGUGGGUGAAGAAGGCCUGUGGGUUGUAAAGCCCUUUCGGUGGGGAAGAAAAGUCUCGACCUAAUACGUCGGGACCUUGACGUAGCCCACUAAAGAAGCACCGGCUAACUCUGUGCCAGCCGCCGCAGUAAU
rnacentral:rRNA from 1 species